GACAGAGGGGGCAAGCGUUGCUCGGAAUCACUGGGCGUAAAGGGCGCGUAGGCGGGAUGGCAAGUCAGUCGUGAAAUCUCUCGGCUCAACCGAGAAACGUCGGCUGAUACUGCCGUUCUUGAGGGAUGCAGAGGAGACUGGAAUUCCCGGCGUAGCGGUGAAAUGUGUAGAGAUCGGGAGGAACACCGGUGGCGAAGGCGGGUCUCUGGGCAUUUCCUGACGCUGAGGCGCGAAAGCGUGGGGAGCGAACAGG
rnacentral:rRNA from 1 species